GCUCCCGUAGCUCAGUCGGUUAGAGCGCCGUACUUAUAAUGCGGAUGUCGGCAGUUCGAGCCUGCCCGGGAGCA